rfam:Rattus norvegicus chromosome 20, whole genome shotgun sequence.
GGGGAUUUAGCUCAGUGGUAGAGCACUUGCCUAGCAAGCGCCAGGCCCUGGGUUCGGUCCCCAGCUCCG